CCUACGGGCGGCAGCAGUAAGGAAUAUUCCACAAUGGGGGAAACCCUGAUGGAGCAACGCCGCGUGCAGGAUGAAGGCCUUCGGGUCGUAAACUGCUUUUCUCUGUGACGAAUAUGACGGUAGCAGAGGAAUAAGGAUCGGCUAACUACGUGCCAGCAGCCGCGGUCAUACGUAGGAUCCGAGCGUUAUCCGGAGUGACUGGGCGUAAAGAGUUGCGUAGGUGGUUUGUUAAGCGAAUAGUGAAAUCAAGUGGCUCAACCAUUUGGCUAUUAUUCGAACUGGCAGACUUGAGAGUGAGAGAGGUAACUGGAAUUCCCGGUGUAGGAGUGAAAUCCGUAGAUAUCGGGAGGAACACCAAUGGCGUAGGCAGGUUACUGGCUCAUUUCUGACACUAAGGCACGAAAGCGUGGGGAGCGAACCGGAUUAGAUACCCGGGUAGU
rnacentral:rRNA from 1 species